rnacentral:rRNA from 1 species
AUUGAACGCUGGCGGCAGGCUUAACACAUGCAAGUCGAGCGGAGAGAGGUAGCUUGCUACCGAUCUUAGCGGCGGACGGGUGAGUAAUGCUUAGGAAUCUGCCUAUUAGUGGGGGACCACAUUUCGAAAGGAAUGCUAAUACCGCAUACGUCCUACGGGAGAAGGCAGGGGAUCUUCGGACCUUGCGCUAAUAGAUGAGCCUAAGUCGGAUUAGCUAGUUGAUGGGGUAAAGGCCUACCAAGGCGACGAUCUGUAGCGGGUCUGAGAGGAUGAUCCGCCACACUGGGACUGAGACACGGCCCAGACUCCUACGGGAGGCAGCAGUGGGGAAUAUUGGACAAUGGGCGCAAGCCUGAUCCAGCCAUGCCGCGUGUGUGAAGAAGGCCUUAUGGUUGUAAAGCACUUUAAGCGAGGAGGAGGCUACUUUAGUUAAUACCUAGAGAUAGUGGACGUUACUCGCAGAAUAAGCACCGGCUAACUCUGUGCCAGCCGCCGCCGUAAUAC